rnacentral:rRNA from 1 species
UACAGAGGUCCCAAGCGUUGUUCGGAUUUAUUGGGCGUAAAGGGUGCGUAGGCGGCGGAGUAAGUUGGGUGUGAAAUCCCGGGGCUCAACCUCGGAAUUGCAUUCAAUACUGCUUCGCUAGAGUACUGGAGAGGAGGCUGGAAUUUACGGUGUAGCAGUGAAAUGCGUAGAUAUCGUAAGGAAGGCCGGUGGCGAAAAGCGAGCCUCUGGACAGUUACUGACGCUGAUGCACGAAGGCCAGGGGAGCAAACGGG